rnacentral:pre_miRNA from 1 species
CUCAUACUCCCUCCGUCCAAAAAUACUUGUCAUCAAAAUGAAUAAAAGAGGAUGUAUCUAGAUAUAUUUUAGUUCUAGAUACAUUCCUUUUUGUCCAUUUUGAUGACAAGUAUUUUCGGACGGAGGGAGUAUUUG